GUCUCCUUUCCGAGUGACUGUGCAUCAAGCAUCGUUCUCUACCGGAGUAUCAAAUAGCUCCGUCCAAUAGCUUCAUAUCGUUCGACACAGAGAUAGAGAGGCUGAAAGCAAGGGUCUGAGCGAGGAAGAAAAUGGAAAAGCUGAAGGCUCUGUUUUCCCAUCCAUCCGAAGCAGAUUAUCUCCAUUGCAACUCCGGACGAUUUCCCUCGUUCUCCUCACUUGUCGACUUAUUCCUUUCUUCACCUCAUUUCCACCAGAUUGUCUGAGAAGCAACGUGCCGAGAGAUGGGGCUGUGGAUUGUCGUAAGACUGCAAUGUCUGCUUUGGAUUGAAAGUGGAAAGGGAACAAUUGCUUUUCGAGCGGAUGUUUCAUCAAUGCUUUUGGAUUCUACACUCAGAUUGGGUAUUCUACACACAUGUGACAGGUUGGUAUACACCAAUGGUGGAAAGAAUUGCGGCCGCGUAUAUGCAAGGUAUUAAACAAUGGUCAAGUAACUGCUCAUUACUUAACGGUAAGGGUGGGAACCAUUAUGCAUAAUGAGCCAUAACGCCCGAUACAGAAAAAUAAAAAUA